ACUUACUGUUACUGAUACAUUCUAUUUCUGAGCGAGGAGAGAGAAAGUCGACUGCAACGUUUUAGUAGUUCGAUAGUGAGCUGGUUUAAGAUGAAACUUGAAAGAGUUCUACUGGUAGCUCUUUUAAACGAAUUUUUUUUUGAAGUUACCUCUGAAAAUGCAGCUAAACAAUUGAAGCAACCCCAAACCCUAGAAUAGAGAUCGUUGAAAGUGUUGGAAUUACAAGUGCCAAUCCGACUGUAUUAAGCUAUUUUGAACAGAACUUAGUCAAAAGCCGAGUUUAGGUAGUAGCCGAAGCAAUGUGGUCUCCUCGACUACCAUCAAAACAACACGCUGAGAGGAUAGAAAGGUCUAUGUUAGGGAACCAUCAGCUCCUUUCGUUUAAACUGCGGAAAUAGUUGAGAGAUUUCAAUCUAACAUAAAGGAUGAUGUAGCUUCACUUCUUCAGAAGCAGCCUAAACUCACUCUGACCAGCCCCAUGGAACCUGACUUUGAAACAGUUAACCGCGUCCGCUUAUACAAAGUGAAAAGCUCUACCGAGCUAGAGGAAGAGAUGAUGGUGAUAUCCCAAAUUUCAAGGCUAGGCCUGUAAGCAAGAAGAUCCUGGAAGCUCCUACUUUACCAGCAUUACCAAGAAGUACUACUCUUCUACCGGAGUUUCAGGAAUUUCAUUUGAAAACAUUGGAGAGGUUUAAUCAACAUGCUGAAACUUCAACCGAAUCUUCACAUCAGGCUAUGCUUGAUAAUUCCGGAUCUCAACAGCUUUUAUUGGUAAAGAACUUUGCAUCCUCAAAGACGUGUGUACCCCAGUAUCUCUUCCAGAUUGGUCUCAAUGCUGCACAUGAUGGUGAACAUUCUAACUCAGAAGUUUCUGAUUAUAAUCUCAACAGAUGCCUUUCAUCUCUUCUAAACUCCCCUUCUCCAGAUUAUCAAACAGUUGCUCUUGUACUUCAGAAAUUAAUUGGAAUUUCUGGAUUCAAAAAGGGCAAUGUGAAUGAUGACGUAGAUAACGUGUACAGGCAAGCCUAUUUGGUCAUGGUAGGUUGAAGGAGGGUGAGCAUCCAACUGAAGAGGAGAAAUGGUUAGCUACAGCUUGGAAUCAUGCGCAGUUGCCAGUCCGACUGGGGCAGAUCGAUAUUGCAAGAAAGAUGGAUGACAAUUGCGUUCGCCUGGCCCAACACAUACAAGGAAUGGUCAAGCAUCGUAAGGUCAGGUCGAUGGUUCCUGUGGAGUGUAAUUGGUUACGACCAGAGGAGAAUGAGCUGAUGCUGUGCUGUGGUGGAGCGUCACUGCUUAAUCCAGGUCCGGCAGGUGCAGGAUGUGUUGGCUUGUUUGGGUGCUCUGGCAAUUGGGUUGGGAGAGACUACAAACUAUAUGGCUGAAAGUGAAGCCAUUAUAUCAGGUCUGGAAUGGGCUUUAGAUUGGGCAGUGAGGUGGAUGGUGGAUACGGUAGUGGUUGCAUCGGACUCUCAUAGUGUUGUGCUUGCUCUUCGGAGUGGCAAAGUGCCUUGGAGGGUAAUGGGAAGGUGGAGAAGAGUUCAAUGAUGCUAUACAAAUAUUUCUUUUAAGCAUGUUUACAGGAAAGUUAAUUUGCCGCAGACACACUGUCUAAAUUUGCUUCUCAAUUAGCCAAAGGUAUUACUUUCAUGGUAGGCCGGACAUCCUUACUUGUUUAGAGGGUUCUGGCAUCAGUUAUUUCCGCUUUAGAUAAUUUGUUUCAAGUCUGCUAAAAAAAAAAGCUUUCAAACUUGAGAGGAUACACACAGGCUGCUGAAUUUGGAAUUGCUCAGAUGUUGCCAGUUAUUGGCUGAUAUAUUGCAACAAAAUAGAGAAUUCUGUUUUAUAUUUUGGAUAA